UCUGACUUUUACUGCUUUUCUUUUAGGAAUCUGACCUGUGCACCUUGGAACUACUCCUGCUGCCAGUCCGGUGGGGUGCAACACCAUUGGCUUUUUAUCCUGAACUUUUGAAGCUCAGUCCACCAAUUUCAUAUUGAAUUAUUUACCAUUGCAUAUGUUUCCUACCAUUUUACCUAUCUUUAAGACUGUCUGAUACAUGGAGGAAUAUGAUUUUGGAGCAAAAGAACAAGGCAUACUGGGGAUAGAAGGCCUUCAGUUGUUGAAGCUGAAUUAUGAAAUCCUUUUGUAGGUGAGGAAACAAAUACUCCAUUCUGAUGAAUACUUCUCAAUAGAUACAGAACUAGUCAUUGGCAAAGCCAGGACACAAACCCAG